AACAUCAUCAUCCUAUAAUGACAUAUCAUUUAGUCACAAAUAUGUUUAAGAACUAUAAGAUAAAUCUUCUUUUUAUCGCACACUAGUAUAGUUCUAAGGACUUCAUCACAAUACAAGAGUUCAAGAAAGAUGUAACUUUAUGUUGAAAAAUGUCAGAAUAUUUUUUAUUCAAUAAUCAAUAAUUCAUAUAUAAGAAAGAACUCAAUCGUCACAUGAUUAGUUUUAGGACAUAAUUUUCAACAACUCCCACUUGGACUAAAGUCAAUCAGGGC
rnacentral:lncRNA from 1 species